rnacentral:rRNA from 2 species
GAGGGAAACCGAGUCUUAAUUGGGCGUUAAGUUGCAGGGUAUAGACCCGAAACCCGGUGAUCUAGCCAUGGGCAGGUUGAAGGUUGGGUAACACUAACUGGAGGACCGAACCGACUAAUGUUGAAAAAUUAGCGGAUGACCUGUGGCUGGGGGUGAAAGGCCAAUCAAACCGGGAGAUAGCUGGUUCUCCCCGAAAGCUAUUUAGGUAGCGCCUCGUGAAUUCAUCUCCGGGGGUAGAGCACUGUUUCGGCUAGGGGGCCAUCCCGGCUUACCAACCCGAUGCAAACUGCGAAUACCGGAGAAUGUUAUCACGGGAGACACACGGCGGGUGCUAACGUCCGUCGUGAAGAGGGAAACAACCCAGACCGCCAGCUAAGGUCCCAAAGUCAUGGUUAAGUGGGAAACGAUGUGGGAAGGCCCAGACAGCCAGGAUGUUGGCUUAGAAGCAGCCAUCAUUUAAAGAAAGCGUAAUAGCUCACUGGUCGAGUCGGCCUGCGCGGAAGAUGUAACGGGGCUAAACCAUGCACCGAAGCUGCGGCAGCGACACUCAGGUGUUGUUGGGUAGGGGAGCGUUCUGUAAGCCUGCGAAGGUGGCCUGUGAGGGUUGCUGGAGGUAUCAGAAGUGCGAAUGCUGACAUAAGUAACGAUAAAGCGGGUGAAAAGCCCGCUCGCCGGAAGACCAAGGGUUCCUGUCCAACGUUAAUCGGGGCAGGGUGAGUCGACCCCUAAGGCGAGGCCGAAAGGCGUAGUCGAUGGGAAACGGGUUAAUAUUCCCGUACUUGGUGUUACUGCGAAGGGGGGACGGAGAAGGCUAUGUUGGCCGGGCGACGGUUGUCCCGGUUUAAGCGUGUAGGUGUGUGUUCCAGGUAAAUCCGGUUCACUUUAACACUGAGGCGUGACGACGAGGCACUACGGUGCUGAAGCAACAAAUGCCCUGCUUCCAGGAAAAGCCUCUAAGCAUCAGGUAACAUCAAAUCGUACCCCAAACCGACACAGGUGGUCAGGUAGAGAAUACCAAGGCGCUUGAGAGAACUCGGGUGAAGGAACUAGGCAAAAUGGUGCCGUAACUUCGGGAGAAGGCACGCUGACACGUAGGUGAAGUGAUUUACUCACGGAGCUGAAGUCAGUCGAAGAUACCAGCUGGCUGCAACUGUUUAUUAAAAACACAGCACUGUGCAAACACGAAAGUGGACGUAUACGGUGUGACGCCUGCCCGGUGCCGGAAGGUUAAUUGAUGGGGUCAGCGCAAGCGAAGCUCCUGAUCGAAGCCCCGGUAAACGGCGGCCGUAACUAUAACGGUCCUAAGGUAGCGAAAUUCCUUGUCGGGUAAGUUCCGACCUGCACGAAUGGCGUAAUGAUGGCCAGGCUGUCUCCACCCGAGACUCAGUGAAAUUGAACUCGCUGUGAAGAUGCAGUGUACCCGCGGCAAGACGGAAAGACCCCGUGAACCUUUACUAUAGCUUGACACUGAACAUUGAGCCUUGAUGUGUAGGAUAGGUGGGAGGCUUUGAAGUGUGGACGCCAGUCUGCAUGGAGCCGACCUUGAAAUACCACCCUUUAAUGUUUGAUGUUCUAACGUGGACCCGUGAUCCGGGUUGCGGACAGUGUCUGGUGGGUAGUUUGACUGGGGCGGUCUCCUCCUAAAGAGUAACGGAGGAGCACGAAGGUUGGCUAAUCCUGGUCGGACAUCAGGAGGUUAGUGCAAUGGCAUAAGCCAGCUUGACUGCGAGCGUGACGGCGCGAGCAGGUGCGAAAGCAGGUCAUAGUGAUCCGGUGGUUCUGAAUGGAAGGGCCAUCGCUCAACGGAUAAAAGGUACUCCGGGGAUAACAGGCUGAUACCGCCCAAGAGUUCAUAUCGACGGCGGUGUUUGGCACCUCGAUGUCGGCUCAUCACAUCCUGGGGCUGAAGUAGGUCCCAAGGGUAUGGCUGUUCGCCAUUUAAAGUGGUACGCGAGCUGGGUUUAGAACGUCGUGAGACAGUUCGGUCCCUAUCUGCCGUGGGCGCUGGAGAACUGAGGGGGGCUGCUCCUAGUACGAGAGGACCGGAGUGGACGCAUCACUGGUGUUCGGGUUGUCAUGCCAAUGGCACUGCCCGGUAGCUAAAUGCGGAAGAGAUAAGUGCUGAAAGCAUCUAAGCACGAAACUUGCCCCGA